GAUGAACGCUGGCGGCGUGCUUAACACAUGCAAGUCGAACGGAGCACUUUAUUUGAUUUCCUUCGGGACUGAUUAUUUUGUGACUGAGUGGCGGACGGGUGAGUAACGCGUGGGUAACCUGCCUUGUACAGGGGGAUAACAGUUGGAAACGGCUGCUAAUACCGCAUAAGCGCACAGCAUCGCAUGAUGCAGUGUGAAAAACUCCGGUGGUAUAAGAUGGACCCGCGUUGGAUUAGCUAGUUGGUGAGGUAACGGCCCACCAAGGCGACGAUCCAUAGCCGACCUGAGAGGGUGACGGGCCACGUUGGGGCUACGACACGGCCCAUACUCCUACGGGAGGCAGCAGUGGGGAAUAUGGUCCAAUGGGCGAGAGCCUGAUGCAGCGACGCCGCGUGAGCGAAGAAGUAUUUCGGUAUGUAAAGCUCUAUCAGCAGGGAAGAUAAUGCCGGUACCUGACUAGGGACCACCGGCUAACUACGUG
rnacentral:rRNA from 1 species